GCAACCUGGCGGCGUGCUUACACAUGCAGUCGAACGAGAAUUUGGCGGACUGAACUUUCGGGAGAGGGAAGCUGAAGGGAAGUGGCGAACGGGUGAGUAACACGUGAGCAACCUGCCUUACACAAAGGGAUAGCCACUGGAAACGGUGAUUAAUACCAUAUGAGACCACAAACUCGCAUGAGAAAGGGGUUAAAGAAAUUCGGUGUAAGAUGGGCUCGCGUCUGAUUAGCUAGUUGGAAGGGUAGAGGCCUACCAAGGCGACGAUCAGUAGCCGGUCUGAGAGGAUGAACGGCCACACUGGAACUGAGACACGGUCCAGACUCCUACGGGAGGCAGCAGUGGGGAAUAUUGCACAAUGGGGGGAACCCUGAUGCAGCGACGCCGCGUGAGCGAAGAAGGUUUUCGAAUCGUAAAGCUCUGUCCUAUGAGAAGAUAAUGACGGUAUCAUAGGAGGAAGCCCCGGCUAAAUACGUGCCAGCAGCCGCGGUAAU
rnacentral:rRNA from 1 species